rnacentral:rRNA from 1 species
GACGUAGGGCGCGAGCGUUGUCCGGAUUUAUUGGGCGUAAAGAGCUCGUAGGCGGCUUGUCGCGUCGACUGUGAAAUCCCGCGGCUCAACUGCGGGUCUGCAGUCGAUACGGGCAAGCUAGAAUUCGGUAGGGGAGACUGGAAUUCCUGGUGUAGCGGUGAAAUGCGCAGAUAUCAGGAGGAACACCGGUGGCGAAGGCGGGUCUCUGGGCCGAUAUUGACGCUGAGGAGCGAAAAGCGUGGGGGAGCGAACAGG